rnacentral:rRNA from 1 species
GGAUAACUACGGAAAAGCUGUAGCUAAUACUUGCUUUAGCACUCUUGAUUCAUUUCUUGAGUGUGUACUUGUUAAGCCUUUUAAGAAAAAAGUUAUUAACUUAAGGAAUUAUAACAAAGAAGCGACACGUAA